rnacentral:misc_RNA from 1 species
GUGAUUUAGCUUAAACUACGGAGUGCGAAGUGCGAACUACGAAAGCUGAAUGCCCAAGCUCUAGACUAUAAAAACAUCUCUCUCUGUAAGCAGUACCUUUGGGCUUUCAGAGCUCGAGUUCCGAUUCCAUCAAGUACAAUCCUCACGGUCGUGGCAAUUUCCAGCGCUCUUCUGCUAAUGAAAGUCCCCUAAUCCCUUCCCAAGUUCUCAAUCGAUGAAAUUUUCGAGCAGGAGAAGGGCUAUCUUUACCCGCUGUUGAUUAUUCUCCGAGAACCCUCACCC